GAGAAUAUCACCAAAGGAUCAUAUUUAACUACAAAUACCAAAGCAAGGCAAUGUUUGCGCCAUACAUUGGAAAAAAUUUUGAAUGUACUGGCGUAUAAGGGAAUUGAAAUGUUCUAUUUAGACGUAAAAAGGGAACAAUAUUGCUAGGACUAACAAAGGGCCACAACCCAUGGCAGCCGGUUGUACUCUGUACUGCUACAACAACUAGGAGUACUCUUAAGUGUAUAAAAAUGGAUGAACUUAAACUGCAAAUCGAUCAUGCAACUGCAGAAAUUCUCAAAGUCAAUGCAACAGAAGUUGCCGCAGCAACAGCUGAGCUAAGGAGUGCCUGCCUUGCCACACUUGAGAGCAGAGAAUUCUUGUCACUUGGAAGUGAUGUUGGUAGCUGCCGCUGCAAACAACAAAGAAGAAAAAGCCAACAAACAAAGUCCCCCGUCGUGCUAGGUGUCCUUUGACUUGUGAAUGCAUUCUUAAGUGAGCAAGCAAUGUCGUUUUGUAUUCCAAUUUAAAAGUGCAGCAACAACUCUUUGAUUGUCCAAAGGAAAACAAAUUAUUCAUGCUUCCUUACCAAGGCCAUCAGUUGUUUAGCAGCUUAAUGAGGGAAGAGGUUAAGCCAACCAACCAGUUAAGCUUUUAAGGGAUCUCUUCAUAUCAAUGAGAUUUCACACCUACAAAAGAUCUUUGAUACAGAGAAAUUAAUAGGUUCAGAAGAACAAAAUUCAAGCCAAUGGUAUUUUUGUGGAAAUAACUCAAAAAAUGAAUGGCGGAAAAAACUUUAAACCAGUGGCGCGCAAAUACACACCCACUGUUGCAGAUAUAUGUAUACAUGCACAGGAACAUAAGCCCAGGGGCUUGAAAAUGAUACGCACACUAGCACAUGUGCCCAUCACUGCU